rnacentral:rRNA from 1 species
CACGUAGGCACCAAGCGUUGUCCGGAUUUAUUGGGCGUAAAGAGCUCGUAGGCGGUUCAGUAAGUCGGGUGUGAAAACUCUGGGCUCAACCCAGAGACGCCACCCGAUACUGCUGUGACUUGAGUACGGUAGGGGAGUGGGGAAUUCCUGGUGUAGCGGUGAAAUGCGCAGAUAUCAGGAGGAACACCGGUGGCGAAGGCGGUUCUCUGGGCAUGAUCUGACGCUGAGGAGCGAAAGUGUGGGGAGCGAACAGG